AUUCUACUCCAUCUGUCCAACAAAGCAUGUCUCAACUUUGACUAAAUUUGAAUGUAUCUAUACACCAAGUCAUGUCUAGAUACAUCCAAAUUUUGACAAACUUGAGACAUCUUUUGUUGGACGAAGAAAGUAUAAG
rfam:Brachypodium distachyon strain Bd21 chromosome 2, whole genome shotgun sequence.